rnacentral:snoRNA from 1 species
GUGCACAUUUCAUUGUCUUGUUUUCUUUAUGUCAAGAGAGAAGAUAUUUCUAAUGUGCUAAAUAAACCUUUGGAGGUCAGUUAGCUGCAUGACUAUUUAGCCAUUGCUAUCAAUCACCUUCAGACCAGA